UGAAGUGGUUCACAUCAAAAUGCAAGUUUGAAAAAGAGCUCUAAGAGCUCCGGGGCUU
rnacentral:tRNA from 1 species